rnacentral:lncRNA from 1 species
AUUCCAACCUCAUUGGUUAAGACUCUCCGAAACAUCUGCAAAGAACCCCACUGCUGGAUUCUCAGUACAAAGAGAGUAAAGCUCGGUAGGUUCUGCAGCUGGGAGGUACAACUGCAACUCAGCAGACAGGUUUAAUCAGCAUCAGAUGCACCUGCUAAACAAAAAGGGAGCAAAUCUUGCCAACCACUGACUGAGGGAAGAAACAGGACCCAGCCCAAGAUGAAUGCGAUUCGCCACCCAUGAAAAAAUCUGCAGCUGUAGGUAAGAAGGACAUAAACACACACGUUUUUCAAGGACCUUUAGUCAAAACUGAACAAAUCAGCUCCCACGUUCACCCAAAAAGAAAAAAAAAAGAGAGAGAAAAGGGGAAGUUCAGAUUAGUCACAAAGAAGUUCCCCCGCCUGUUGCUGUAUGUAUAAAACUGAGACACUGUCCUGAAGACUUCAUAUCUCUGAUCUUGGGACUUCGCAUGUACCUCUUCUGCUUCUCUUUCCUUCUGGACAGAGUCAGAAGAGGAUUUUUUUUUCUUUUGGCAUUUUAAAUUGGAGGUUGCUAGCAGGGAGGCUGGGAUGGAAGGGCAGCCAGAGAUGGAACCCAGAAAUCAGGGAGAGCAGCUGGAUCUGGAAAGGGGACCUGCAGACUAUGAGUGGAGGAGAUGGCAAAGAGCACAGGUCAGAAGGAACACACUGCAGCUUGUAUCUGCUGUUGCUCAGUGGAUAUUAUUGCUCACCUGCUUGGUGCAACUUGGCCUUGGCUUCCUGCAUUCCUCUCCGACCACCACAAAGGCUACAGGCCAGUGGACCAUCGCCAGGAAAUCUGAGGUUAAGGUCAAUGUCAGUGAAGCGACUGUCGAUAUUACUUACUGGAGUGGCGACUGGAAUGUCACAAAUGGCAGAAUCCAGGUUGAAUGUGAUGGCUUGUAUCUGGUGUUCCUGCAAGGAGAGCUCAAUCUGGAUAAUAAUGCCUUGCUGACCCUCAAAGUUUAUGAUAAAGGCAACAAUACCAUCUUGAAGCUGAAAGAGAAGGAAGAAAGGAAGAUAUAUUUGGUCACAGCAUUACGUCUGCUUAGUCCUAAUAAUAUUUAUCUGAAUGCCAGUGGCCCAGCCAUUCUUCAUCAUUUGUCACUGGGCCUUGUCUUGCUGUCUCCACCCAAUUACUGCACUGACAGAAAAAGGAUUAAAUAUUAACAUGCAAAGAAAGACCCCUUUCUGACAAACUACAAAUCUGAACCCACUACUAGCACAUAUACAAGAUUGUAUUCAUUAGGCUAUACAUGUACAAGAAGCCUGAAACUGGGGUCUCAGGCCUGUGCUAUGUCUGAGUGAGAGGGUUCUCCUGGCUAGUGCAAACAAGUCAAUAUGCAAAUAGUCUUUAUUCAAUAUCUGCCAUGUUCACCUCUUUGGGGCCCACUCCCUGGGAUGGAUCUGUCGGACUUGGGAGAGGGUCCGUGAUACUGUCGAGAAGAAUGAAGGUGAGAACAUAGAAAGUUACUGAUGCUUGGUUCAUAGUCAGAGGAAUCCUGGCUUCCCUAUUUAUUUGAUGAAAUUUGUAUAUACUUGAAAAGCUUUGCACACUUGCUGGAAAAGGAAUCAGUUGAAUCACAAAUGGACCUGAUAGUUUUACAGUUACCUGGGCAAAGUGGAGAUGAUAGAGAUCCAUGAAACAACUUUUGCCUAGCUGUGAGGAAGAAAAAGAUCAUGGGGAGGGUUUCCCUUACAGUGAUCCUGGGAGAUGUUUCCUGGAAGCUCAGGAAAUGGAAGAAAAGAGGUGUUUGGAAGUUUAAAAUGGAGACUCAUGGUAAUGAGCACAGAGCUGUUUAAGAAUGGCUUUUCAGACAGAAAGAGACUCUGAGAAAUGCAGUUUCUAAUUAUUUGCAAAUUCUGUGGCAUAAGUGAUGUGGGAAUAUUUGAGACAAUACUAGGAGGGACUGAUGUCAGGAAUUCAAGAUAUCAACUGGAGAAGAAUCCCAGCUCCUCCCCUCUCCUCUUCCAUAUGCAUGCAUACACAUGCACACAUACAUACAUACUAGGCUUGAACCAAGAUCCAGGUGCCUAAACUUUAGAAGAUGUUGGAAGAAGCUCCUAACCCCUUGAGCAGGCUCUCUGGGUUCCAGGGAACAAAUAAAAUCUUUGGUUCUGAAAUCUUCA